rnacentral:rRNA from 1 species
UACGUAGGGUGCAAGCGUUUAAUCGGAAUUACUGGGCGUAAAGCGUGCGCAGGCGGUUGUGCAAGACAGAGGUGAAAUCCCCCGGGCUUAACCUGGGAAUGGCCUUUGUGACUGCACGGCUAGAGUGUGUCAGAGGGGGGGUAGAAUUCCACGUGUAGCAGUGAAAUGCGUAGAGAUGUGGAGGAAUACCGAUGGCGAAGGCAGCCCCCUGGGAUAACACUGACGCUCAUGCACGAAAGCGUGGGGAGCAAACAGG